UAGGGAAUCUUCGGCAAUGGGGGCAACCCUGACCGAGCAACGCCGCGUGAGUGAAGAAGGUUUUCGGAUCGUAAAGCUCUGUUGUAAGUCAAGAACGGGUGUGAGAGUGGAAAGUUCACACUGUGACGGUAGCUUACCAGAAAGGGACGGCUAACUACGUGCCAGCAGCCGCGGUAAUACGUAGGUCCCGAGCGUUGUCCGGAUUUAUUGGGCGUAAAGCGAGCGCAGGCGGUUUGAUAAGUCUGAAGUUAAAGGCUGUGGCUCAACCAUAGUUCGCUUUGGAAACUGUCAAACUUGAGUGCAGAAGGGGAGAGUGGAAUUCCAUGUGUAGCGGUGAAAUGCGUAGAUAUAUGGGGGAACACCGGUGGCGAAAGCGGCUCUCUGGUCUGUAACUGACGCUGAGGCUCGAAAGCGUGGGGAGCGAACAGGAUUAGAUACCCUGGUAGUCACGCCGUAAACGAUGAGUGCUAGGUGUUGGAUCCUUUCCGG
rnacentral:rRNA from 1 species